rnacentral:lncRNA from 1 species
AUCUGGAAACACUGUCUGCAUCUUCCUUUAUUCUGACCUGUUCUACACGGCACUAUAAUUUUACAUGUUUCAGGUAUGUUUUUUUUCAGAUCCAUAAGUAAAUGCCUUUUCUUUUUUUUUUUUUUUUUCUUUUUUCUUUUUUCCACAGCAUAUGGAAGUUCCUAAGCCAGGGAUCCAACCUGCAGCACAGCAGUGACCCAAGCCACUGCAGUGACAACACCAGGUCCUUAACCCUGUGAACCACAAGAUGUCUCCAACGAUUAGUCUUGAUGUUUCUGAAAGCUAUUUAUUUUAUACUUCAAAAAGAUUUUUUUUGUCUUUUUAGAGCCACACCCAUGGCAUAUGGAAGUUUCCAGGCUAGGGACUGAAUUGGACCUAUAGCCACCGGCCUACACCACAGCCACAGCAACACCAGAUCUAAGCUGCUUCUGCGACCUACACCACAGCUUACGGCAAUGCGGGAUCCUUUAACCCACUAAGGGAGGCCAGGGUUUGAACCUACAUCCCCAUGGAUGCUAGUCAGAUUUGUUUCCUCUGAGCCACAAUGGGAACUCCUAUUUUAUACUUGUAUUUUUUCUCUCUCUCUCUCUCUCAAGGACAUCUCUUUGUAGCUAAUGAUUUUCAAAGAAGCAGUCCUGUUGUCUCCAAACAUGUGUUGUUAUGAUACCUCUAGUUUCUCAUUUAUAAUCUUUCAGUCUGUCUGUCUGUCUGUCUUUCUCUCAUAGUGCAUUGGAAUGAUGCUUAUUUUUUAGCCUUUGAUGUGACACUUUUGAUUCCCACAUUCUAGGCAUAAUUCAGGUCUGUACUUAUUUUUAAUGGCUUCAUGGAUGGUGUUACCUGUUUUGUAAUCAAGUACGGUACAGUUACUCUAAGAAAUAACUUUCAAACCACAGCCACUGCCACAAAUGGUAUUUAUGUGAAGUGAUAGAUUUUUUUAAACUAACCUUAUUGUGGUAAUAAAUAAUCUCCCAACAUCAUGUAUAUGCAGUCGUCACCUUGUAUACCUUAAAGUUAUACCAUGUUGUAUUUCCCUGUAAUAUUAUCUCAAUAUAGUCAUCUUAAGAAAGCUGAAAACAUAAUUUUAAAAUAAGUUAAACCAUAACAUGCCUGAUAAUGGAAGGGUGAAACUUCCUUUCUUUCAUGAAGUACUGUCUUAACUGUAUGGAUUUUAGUAAAUCCCCUGUCCUGAGCUUCAGUGUCCACUGGCUUCGCUCAUUUCCUCUUCUAGCCACUCCAGUGGCCUCUGUCUUUACCCCUAGUCCAGCCUCACUUCCUGCCAAGAUACGUGGACAGAGAAGUUUUUUCCCUAACAAAUAAAUCCAAAUCUGUUGCUUCUGUCUUUAGAAUUACCUGACAGCCCCCCUUGUCUUACAGAAUAAGAUGUGAAAUACUUAGGAGAGCAUCACCAAAUCCUUGUGUUGGGUGGUCGGACCUCUCUGACCUGCCCCCAGCCCAGCUCUGUGCACAGAUCUCACAUUUCUAUAGCUUUCUAGAUGCCGGAGUCCAGCUUUGUACUAGUGUCAGAAAAAUUGCACCAGACCAGUUAAACAGGCAAGGCAACUUCAUUCAAGAUAAUUGUAACAAAGGUCAUGAGGGUUUUAAGUGCUGAGGCAGCCAGUGAAAAGCUCUGGGGCUCUGGAGGGAGGCUGGGCACUGAAUGUGUUCAGUACCUGGAGUUAUUCCUGAGUUUGUGGAUUUUUUUCUUGGUGGUUGGACUCUGUGUUCACUUUUGUCCAUCAGGGUUGGGGUCUCCCCUCCUCCAGGAAAUGAGAGAAGGGGAGCUGGCUUCUCUCACAUCUGCAUUUCAAGGUCUUUGAGAAAGACCUUCCUGGAUUGUAAAACUGGCCAGAGGUGCUUUACAAACAUUGACAUACCUUUCAAAGGGGCAAGGAGAAGUUUGCAAUGAGUUUUAAAAGCAAAUGCUGAGUAGUAUUCCAUUGGGUAUAUAUACCACAUCUUAAUCCAAUCAUCUGUUGAUGGGCAUUUGAGUUGUUUCCAUGUUUUGGCUAUUGUGAAUAGUGCUGCAGUAGGUGCAUGUGUCUUUUUCAAGGAAAGUUUUGUCUGGGUAUACCUUGCCGUAUAGUUGAAAAUUGACAGAACACUCUAAACAAGUGAUAAUGGAAAAAAUAAAAUUCAUUAUUAAAAAAGUAAAAAAAAAUUAUAUUAAAAAAAAGCAAAUGCUCUUAAAAAAAAAAAAAAAGGAAUUCCCAUUGUGGCUCAGUGGUUAACGAACCCAACUAGUAACCAUGAGGACGUGGGUUCGAUCAUUGGCCUCACUCUGUGGGUUAGGGAUCCGGCAUUGCCGUGAGCUGUGGUGGAAGUCACAGAUGUGGCUUGGAUCCCAAAUUACUCUGGCUGUGGCGUAGGCUGGUGGCUACAGCUCCAAUUCGAACCCUAGCCGGGAACUUCCAUAUGCCAUGGUUGGGGCCC